GCUCUCUUAGCCCCACAUACCUCACAAGGUGUCUGUUGUGUGUGUGUGUGUUGGGGGGAGAGGUAAAGGAGAUUGUGACCACUCUGAGAUUCACAGUAUAGAGUGGGUUAUAAAUCCAAUAGCA